AUGGGACAGCUAAAACUACCACAGCGCAUCCUCAUUGAAACGCACAUGUCGUACGAAGCACGCACAGGUCAGGGCACGUCACCAGGGGUCAGGACCAGACACCGAGCACGGGUCAGAGGACCAGACACCGAGCACGGGUCAGAGGACCAGACACCGAGCACGGGUCAGAGGACCAGACACCGAGCACGGGUCAGAGGACCAGACACAGAGCACCAGACACAGAGCACGGGUCAGAGGACCAGACACCGAGCACGGGUCAGAGGACCAGACACCGAGCACGGGUCAGAGGACCAGACACAGAGCACCAGACACAGAGCACGGGUCAGAGGACCAGACACCGAGCACGGGUCAGAGGACCAGACACCGAGCACGGGUCAGAGGACCAGACACAGAGCACGGGUCAGAGGACCAGACACAGAGCACGGGUCAGAGGACCAGAGACAGAGCACGGGUCAGAGGACCAGACACAGAGCACGGGUCAGAGGACCAGACACAGAGCACGGGUCAGAGGACCAGACACAGAGCACGGGUCAGAGGACCUGCCAGACACGGGGGGGGGGGGGGGGGGGGGGGGGGGGGGGGGGGGGGGGGGGGGGGGGGGGGGGGGGGGGGGGGGGGGGGGGGGGGGGGGGGGGGGGGGGGGGGGGGGGGGGGGGGGGGGGGGGGGGGGGGGGGGGGGGGGGGGGGGGGGGGGGGGGGGGGGGGGGGGGGGGGGGGGGGGGGGGGGGGGGGGGGGGGGGGGGGGGGGGGGGGGGGGGGGGGGGGGCCCAGCCAACACGGGUUCGGACCAGUCUGCAAAAGACAAUAAUUGUGAAAAUGAACCACACAACCAUCUUUGCAAAGGUUCUCAGGAUACAAUGAAAGUACCGAUCAUUAAAACCUCGUAUUCACCACUUUGAGGAAAAACGAGAUAUAAAUCACCGGUGGAAGCCACCCUUACUCAAUGUGCAGGUUCGUUCCCGUUCUUGUGUUCCUUAUAAAAGGCUCAAGCAAGGUCGAGCUUUUUCUGCGUCGCAUCCAGCUGCUGCUGCAGCCGCUUCUUGCGCCAAUCGAGGAAUCGCCGACGCAGCUUGUUUCCUUGCCAACCAAUUAUCACGCCGGCUGUGAAGGAAAGAGCCACGCACACUAUCACCGACCUCUCACUCACGUCUCUCAUCGUGCGGGGACACUUCCGCCUUGUUUACGUCACUUCCGCACUUCCGCCUUGUUUACGUCACUUCCGCCUUGUUUACGUCACUUCCGCAUUUGCUUCUUUUUUUUCCCCUUCAUUCCCAGAUGAUUUCUCUUGAUGAUGCUCUCGAUUCAAUGGGAGAGUUUUCAGUUGUUUCUCAGAUAGAGAUUUGAACUGUAAACGACGAUACUUGAACAUACAAAGCUCACUUGAGAC
rnacentral:lncRNA from 1 species